GACAGAGGGUGCAAACGUUGUUCGGAAUUACUGGGCGUAAAGCGAGUGUAGGCGGUUCGGUAAGUCGGAUGUGAAAGCCCCGGGCUCAACCCGGGAAGUGCACUCGAUACUGCCGAGCUAGAGUGUCGGAGAGGUUGGUGGAAUUCUCGGUGUAGAGGUGAAAUUCGUAGAUAUCGAGAGGAACACCGGUGGCGAAGGCGGCCAACUGGACGAACACUGACGCUGAGACUCGAAAGCCGUGGGGAGCAAACAGG
rnacentral:rRNA from 1 species